UGUUGACCAUUACAGUGUGGUCUGGCAGGC
rnacentral:piRNA from 1 species